UCUAUUUCAGGAUCUCUUCCACUCAAAUUCAAAAUGUGUCACAGGAUUUCUCUUCUCUUCCCAAGUAUCCCCAGUGAAUAGCCAAGCUUGAGAAAACCAUCAUGAAAGUUAAGAUAUUAAUCAAGAUUUCAGAAACAAGCAAAGAAACAAGAAAAACCAAGGGAUCAUAUCAGACUAGCACCUUCAAGAUUUACGAAGAAACACUGAUACCUGCACAGUUA
rnacentral:lncRNA from 1 species